rnacentral:rRNA from 1 species
UCCCAGACUCCUACGGGAGGCAGCAGUGGGGAAUAUUGCACAAUGGGGGGAACCCUGAUGCAGCGACGCCGCGUGGGUGAAGGAGUACCUCGGUGCGUAAAGCCCUAUCGGCAGGGAAGAAAAGCGAACAGGUUCGCCUGGACGGUACCUGACUAAGAAGCCCCGGCUAGCUACGUGCCAGCAGCCGCGGUAAUACGUAGGGGGCAAGCGUUAUCCGGAUUCACUGGGUGUAAAGGGAGCGUAGACGGCGACGCAAGUCUGGAGUGAAAGCCCGGGGCCCAACCCCGGGACUGCUCUUGGAACUGCGCGGCUGGAGUGCAGGAGGGAUAGGCGGAAUUCCUAGUGUAGCGGUGAAAUGCGUAGAUAUUAGGAGGAACACCAGUGGCGAAGGCGGCCUACUGGACGGUGACUGACGCUGAGGCUCGAAAGCGUGGGGAGCAAACAGGAUUAGAUACCCCGGUAA